GUGGAUUAGAUACCCUGGUAGUCCACGCCGUAAACGAUGGAUACUAGCUGUUGGGCGCAAGUUCAGUGGCUAAGCGAAAGUGAUAAGUAUCCCACCUGGGGAGUACGUUCGCAAGAAUGAAACUCAAAGGAAUUGACGGGGGCCCGCACAAGCGGUGGAGCAUGUGGUUUAAUUCGAUGAUACGCGAGGAACCUUACCAAGGCUUAAAUGUAGAUUGACCGGUUUGGAAACAGACUUUUCGCAAGACAAUUUACAAGGUGCUGCAUGCUCGUCGCCAACU
rnacentral:rRNA from 1 species